UUCAUUAUGUGAUCCACUUGUGUUAAAGGAUCAAAUAUGGUUGCAACUUUGAUAUUGUACCUUUUUCUUGUUUAUACAAUAUAUUCAGGCGCACUCCGCCUUGGAUAUUCAGAAGCAAUUGUUCAUGCACAGGUACUUCCUUCUAACACAAGCAACUACUGAAACGAUGUGUGAAUGCAUACCGAUGUCAUGUGAAUACCACUGAUGCGAGUAAAGCCCACUGUCACAUUGAAAAGAUUUUCUGGGAUUUGGACAAUCACAUUGAGAAGAUUUUUCUGCCUGUUACCAUAUGCCUGAUAUACAUGUUGCCAGCUGGCAAGCAGCUCACCUGUUGCUUUUGUAUUGCAGGACUUUAUGGGAGGUUCCCAUGAUAGCAUGGUAACUCUAGAAAAUCGAGUGAGGGGUCUUGAGAGAGUUGUUGAUGAAAUGGCCCGUGAUUUGGCUAUUAAACCAGGAAGGAGAGGUGGAAAUAUGAUGCAGGGAUUCGAUAAAUCUCCAGGUAGGUCUUCAGGCAAGUACGAUGGCCUUCAUGAUUGCUCCAACUCAAAGUUUGGCAGGGACAGUGAGGGGCGGUUCCCAUUUCCAGAGAGGUUUCUCUCAUCAGAAAGUAUGGUUUCUGGAGUAAGGAGACGAGGUUCUCCUUGGAGGUCAGAAUCUGAAACAUGGGAUUACCAUGGUGCCUCAAGGAAUGGUGUCGUGAACUCUAGGAGAGGGUUCAAUGCUGUUCCAGUGGAUGGUAGAGUACCUAGAUCUGAGCAUGACGCUGAUCAAGUUGGUGGCAGGUGGGCCUGGGAUAAGGGACCAGGACCAUUUAGGCUUGGUGAAGGGCCUUCUGCAAGAAGUGUUUGGCAAGCCUCAAAGGAUGAGGCUACUUUAGAAGCUAUCCGAGUAGCUGGGGAAGACAACAUAACAUCCAUAACUGCAGCACGAGUAGCUGUUCCUGAAUUAGAUGCUGAAGGUAUAGCAGAUGAUAAUCUGGGGCUGGACAAGGGUCCACUUUGGGCUUCGUGGACUCGUGCGAUGGAUUCACUUUAUGUUGGCGAUGUUGAUUCAGCUUAUGCAGAGAUUCUGUCUACUGGUGAUGACUUAUUACUUGUAAAGCUAAUGGAUAAAUCUGGUCCAGUAUUUGAUCAGCUCUCUAAUGAAAUAGCGAGCGAAGUCUUUCGUGCAAUUGGACAGUUUGUUCUGGAAGAAAGCUUGUUUGAUAUAGCGCUUAGCUGGCUCCAUCAGUUAUCGGAUCUUGUCGUGGAGAAUGGAAGCGAGUUUCUCAGCAUCCCCCUCGAAUGGAAGAGAGAGAUGUUGCUGAAUCUUCGUGAAGCUUCUGUUUCAGAACCACCAGAAUAUUGGGAGGGGACACCACCGGAUCAGCUAAUGAUGCAUUUAGCGGCUGCAUGGGGUCUCAACUAGCAACAGCAUAUUAAGUAGCAUGUAACAAGUUUCUCAUGGGUGUCGUCUAAUUCUAUUUUUUUCAUCAGCUUUGGCUCAUUAGAAGGAUAAGAUAGCGUAUGUAAUGGAAUCUACGAGAAAAAUAUGGAGCUUUUCUAGCAGAAAUGUGAUGACACUUAUGAGGAGUCCCUCGUUCUUUACCAAUCUUCUCUGUUGAUUGUGGACAAAAUUACUUUUUCGUUGAGCCGAGAAGAAAACCAAAUCAGGGAAGCUAACACGAAGAGAUGAUGCUUUCCUGAUGCAUGUAGAGCAGAUAACUUGGCAUGUAUCACUUUGGAAAUCUUGUUGCUCAGUUUGCUGUUGUUGGUGGUGGAAAACGUAGAUAUCGAUGAACAAUCUUAUUAAGGAAACGUUCUUCUUGUUCUGUUGUGUUACAUCCGGACACGGGAAUUUCCAAGCAACUCGACCAAUACAUUUGAUUGGUUGGAUCAAAGCAACCACCCUCAUCAUGUGCAUCCUACCCACAUUUGACGUCGUCAGCGGUUGCAGCAUAUCCUGGAGACUGGCCUAACUUUGUCAACCCACAUCAUAGCACUUGCAAAGAAAGAUGUGGUCUUCACAGCAGAUAUGUUCUUUUUUGUUGCGAUAGAUGGCAGCAGGAAUCACCAUUCACAUCCGUGCCAAAUCGAAAGCUUAAAUCCAUGGCAGGACUCGUGAUAGGAGGAUGGUUCGCGUCUAUCUUCUUUGCCAGGUUGGCCGAUCAGGUCGGCUCCUACAUCGGAAAGCAGCUCAAGUAUCAGAAGGGUGUGAAGAACAAGCUGACCAAGCUGGAAGUCAAUCUCAGAAAGAUACAUGCCGUGAUCCAUGCAACCGAUCUCGGUCGCCACCAGAAAGAACACUUGGAAGCCUGGUUGUGUGAGCUCAAGGAUGCCGCUUUCGAAGCAGAGGACGUGCUGGAUGGCUUCGAGUACCAGAUCCUCAGGGACACAGUAAAGGGCAAGGACAAGGUGCACACCAACUUCUCAUCCGCUUCUGCUAGUUUUGCCCAGUCGACUAGUGUCUUUUUUAAGCGUCUAUUUUUCCGUGAUGAGGAUCUAAAUGAACUGGACAAGGUUAUCGAAAGAUUCGAUAAGAUUGUGGCAACGAUCGGGAACUUCCUGUUACCGUCAGAUUCAGGUGCUCAGAACCAGAAGCAUGGGGUUUUAUGUGCCGAUGCGCAAAGCGAUGUGCCGGAGUGGAGGGAGACGACCUCCAUCAUGAACGAAUCGGAAGUUUUGGGCCGAGAACACGAGAUCAACAGUCUCGUACGCUUGUUGCUGAUGCCUGACGUAUCCUCGAGGUCCAACAACGAGAGGUUCUCUGUGGUGUCGAUAGUUGGGAUCGGAGGGGUGGGAAAGACCACCGUUGCACAAUGUGUCUACAAUGAUAGCCGGAUCGAUGAUCAUUUUGAUGUGAAAUUAUGGGUGUGCGUCUCAGAAAAAUUCGAUGUGAGAAGGCUCACAAGAAAGAUGUUGGAGUCCGUUUGCCGAGACAGUCGCCACCAUCUCACAAAUCUGGAUACGCUCCAAGAAAUUCUCAAGGAUAAGCUAAAGGAUAAGCAGUUCUUAAUUGUCCUGGAUGAUGUGUGGAACGAGGUGAGAAGUAGAUGGGAGAUCCUCCGGAAACCAUUUCAUUUUGGAAAGGAGGGUAGCAGAGUUUUAGUUACCUCGAGGAUUCCAAUGGUAGCAAAUAAUAUGGGCACCAGGGCACCGGUAAUCCUUAAGGGCUUAAAUGGUGCUGACUACCGGAAAUUCUUCGAACGAUGUGCAUUCGGUGAUGCCAACCCCGACGAUCAUCCGAAAUUGAAGUUGAUUGGAGAGCGGAUAGCCAACAAGCUUGUCGGUUCACCCUUAGCAGCAAAGACCGUGGGGGGGGCAUUGAAGUCCAAGUUAGAGGAAGAACACUGGAGGAGUAUCAUGGAGAGCAAACUGUGGCAAAUGCAACAAAAAGAGGAUGACAUCUUCCCAGCAUUGAGGUUGAGUUAUGAGCACUUGCCUACUUCCGGCCUGAAACAAUGCUUUGUCUACUUUUCUUUGUUUCCCAAGAAUUACUGCUUCGAGAAAGACAGACUGGUGCGUAUGUGGAUGGCACAAGGUUUUCUCCAACCUGGUGAACGAGGGAGGAGACCGGAGGACGUAGGCGAGGACUACUUUGAUGAGUUACUGCAUCGGUCCUUCUUUCAGGACUCGUUGAACGGUCAGUCUGGCAAUUACGUGGUUCAUGAUUUGCUGCAUCAGCUUGCCGAAUCUUUAUCUGCACAUGAGUACUGUAGAGUUGAAGACGAUGAAUCAGAGGAAAUUCCAGAUAAGGUGCGCCAUGUCUAUGUUAGUUCAAGCAAUCUGGCUAAGCUUUAUGAGACCGCACCCAAGCUGAAAAAUUUGCGCAGCCUAGUAGUGAAUGGUAGUUUACUGGAUACGGUUGCCAAGUCCAAGCUCAUGGAUUUCAUCGAAGUCACAUUGAAACGACUAAAACGCCUUCGAGUCAUUGUAUUCGAUGGGCUAGCGCUGGAUGUAUUGCCGGAGAGCAUUGGUCACAUGAGACAUCUCCGGUACCUAGAAGUUCCAGGUGGCCAGUUCAUAGAUUUGCCCAAGUGGAUCUGCAGGCUUUACCAGCUACAAGGGUUGAGUCUCCAGUUUCGUUCACCGCUGCAUCUGGGCAGGCCUUUACCGAGAGGAAUGCACAGAUUAGUCAAUAUGCGUUAUCUGAAUAUAAAUCCAGAAAAGGUUUCCACUAUCGUCGAGAUUGGCAAGUUGAGAUCCCUCCAAGAACUACGAGAGUUUCAUGUAAGGAAGAAAAAUGGAUACGAGCUAGGACAGUUGAGGGACAUGAGGCAGCUGCGAGGACAAUUAAGCAUCAUGAAUCUGGAUAUGGCGGGAAGUGCAAGCGACUGCAGGGCAGCCGAGUUAGACAAUAAAGAGCACCUUAGUGCAUUGCAUUUGUACUGGGGACAAUUAGGAAGAAAAGAUAACGACAAGCAUGAGGAGGUACUGGAAGCCCUUCGGCCACAUCGCAAUCUCACUGAGUUGAGAAUCAUAGGCUACAUGGGGACCGAGUCUCCAAGUUGGCUGAAGACGUCGUGGUUGUCCAAUCUGGAACAUAUUGAAUUGGAGGAUUGCCAGGGCUGGGAAGUCUUGCCACCGCUUGGGCAGCUGCCGUUCCUCAAAAUCCUGCAUCUCAAGUCUCUCAAGUUAGUAAAGCAUAUUUGCUCUGGAUUCUAUGGAGGGCAUAGCAUAGCGUUCCCCUUGCUGGAAGAGCUGCUGUUCAGUGAUAUGGGUGAAUGGAGGCAGUGGUCAGGUGUAAAGGCAAGCUCUCAGUUAUUCCCUCGCCUCCGUAGGCUGCAGAUUGACCGCUGCCACAAGUUAAGGGGAUCGCUUGUUUUGCCUACCGUGCUUGAAAGACUUCAUGUUGUGCUAUCUGAUGAUGUUACCUGGGAAUCAUACAAAAAGCCUCAUGUCGUGCUAUCCGAUGAUGUUAUCUGGGAGAGUAGUGAAACCAAUGAUAUCUCUGCAAUUCUGAAACUUAGCAUAGAUAAUAUCUCACUUCUCACUAAUUGCCUUCCAGCUGAAUGCCUUCCCUCACUCCAGAGACUGGAUGUUGUUUACUGCAGCUCCCUUGAAUCCUUUACCGAUGAACAAGAGAAGUGGCUCCAGAGGCUCUCCUCCCUUGAAGAACUAAGAUUCAGCGACUGCGACAAUCUAACCAGACUGCCGACCGAUCUGAAUAGCCUUGUAUUGCUGAAGACACUGCACAUCGAGGGGUGCCCAAAAAUUGACUCGCGGCCUGAGAAGGGCAUUUAGACAUUGCGGGAUAUCGUCAGAAGAUGAGCAACUGGUUGCAAGCCUUGGGGGUUAACCCUGCUUCAUGCUCCGCAUGUUGCAAGCCUAAAUUUUGGGCACUACCAUCUUCUGCAUUUGAUGAGAUUGUCUAUUCCCAAUAUGAUCAAACCGUAUCACUUCGACAAAGGAUGAUCGGAAAAGAUUCUUCAAGAGUCUCGGGUGCAAGAAGCACAUGAUGAAUACCACCACCAAAACCUAUGACUACAAAGUGAAUUAAGUGUAUCCAGGAGGGACAAAGUAUGGGAAGCAUGCUCAACAGAACAGAGUAAUUUCAGAUUUUUGUUAUGUUUGGUGAUAUCAUUCUUGAAAGCCCGAGAUAUUGACAUGUAAGGAUGAAGCAAAAUCAUUCAUAUAACCAAUGCUGUUUUUUUCAUGAAAUCAAUAAGUGAAACCAAAUUUCAGAUAACAGAUUUGUGAGCAAAUUGAUAAGGUUCAGUUCCAGCCAUUGUGAGUCUUACACUGGGGAGGUUACAGUUCUUUCUGAAAUCUGUAGCAUCUCGGUUCAAUCUCAUAUCGAAAUAGGUAAAGACUUGGAUUGGCAUAUAAAAAUAUGAUGGAUAUAUUACGAUUA